rnacentral:rRNA from 1 species
UACGGGGGGAGCAAGCGUUGUUCGGAUUUACUGGGCGUAAAGGGCGCGUAGGCGGCCAGCACAAGUCAGUUGUGAAAUCUCCGAGCUUAACUCGGAAAGGUCAACUGAUACUGUGCGGCUAGAGUGCAGAAGGGGCAACUGGAAUUCUUGGUGUAGCGGUGAAAUGCGUAGAUAUCAAGAGGAACACCUGCGGCGAAGGCGGGUUGCUGGGCUGACACUGACGCUGAUGCGCGAAAGCUAGGGGAGCAAACAGG